rnacentral:pre_miRNA from 1 species
UAUUAAAAAUGUCAUCUAUUUCUACAGUUACAUGUGACAUGCCACGUAUAUCUCAUUUUGACAUACAAUGACCAAUUUUUAACAGUAGAAACGGAUGAACUUUUUAACA